GUCCCUAUAGCGCAGCGGAUAGCGCGUUGGAUUUCUAAUCCAAAGGUACCGGGUUCAUUCCCCGGCAGGGAUG
rnacentral:tRNA from 1 species